rnacentral:rRNA from 1 species
GAUGAACGCUAGCUACAGGCUUAACACAUGCAAGUCGAGGGACCGGCGCACGGGUGAGUAACACGUAUCCAACCUUCCCUUUACUCGGGGAUAGCCUUUCGAAAGAAAGAUUAAUACCCGAUAUAAAGGAUGGGGAUGCGUUCCAUUAGGUUGUUGGUGAGGUAACGGCUAACCAAGCCUUCGAUGGAUAGGGGUUCUGAGAGGAAGGCCCCCCACAAUUGAACUGAGACACGGUCCACACUCGUACGGGAGGGUGCAGUGAGGAAUAUUGGUCAAUGGGCGGUAGCCUGAACAAGCCAAGUAGCGUGAAGGAUGAAGGCGUAUGGGUCGUAAUCUUCUUUUAUAUAAGAAUAUGUAUUAUAUGAAUAAGGAUCGGCUAACUCCGUGCCAGCAGCCGCGGUAAUAC